AGGACGAACGCUGGCGGCGUGCUUAACACAUGCAAGUCGAGCGGAAAGGCCUUUCGGGGUACUCGAGCGGCGAACGGGUGAGUAACACGUGAGUAAUCUGCCCAUCGCUUCAGGAUAGCCAUCGGAAACGGUGAUUAAUACUGGAUAUGACAUUCCUUCGCAUGUUGGGGUGUGGAAAGUUUUUUCGGCGGUGGAUGUGCUCGCGGCCUAUCAGCUUGUUGGUGGGGUAAUGGCCUACCAAGGCUUUGACGGGUAGCCGGCCUGAGAGGGUGACCGGCCACGACUGGGACU
rnacentral:rRNA from 1 species